GGGGAACAGGUUGCUCAAAGAACCUCCAGGUAAACACAGAAACAAACAUGAUUUUCUACGGAUUGUGGGUCCUGGUACAAAACGUUCCUCGUGUCUCAGCUGUAAGUUGUUCACCAUAUUUUGUUAAAUAAAAAUUAAUAAAACGUCUGUAAAGCAGGAAAGUUUCAGCCUGUCAUCUGACUGAAUGUUAAAAACUUUCUGCGCUGCGUCCACAGGCUUGGAAUAGGCCGGUUGUGCGUGUUGUGUUGUUUUGCAGAGAAUGGAUGGCUUGUUUUUGGUGACAGCGUGGAGCGAGUUGUCAGACUGUUGCCAUGGCGACAGGCGGACAUGAUGAGUCUGGGUCAAAGCUCUCCAGACAGCAGUGCUCUGGUUUUCAGCUGUCUGGAACAGCGCCGCCUGCUGACCAAGGUAACUCGUUACAGUCAGCAGACCCUGGUGGUUUUCUGCUUCAUGAACUGUAAGAAGUUGUCAUCAUCAAAGGGAAUAAUGUGAUGUUUUGCUCCCCCUGCUGGACACCGUGAGAACCUGCAGCUGCGCAUCACAGAACAACAACAUCUGUAUGGAUGAGUCAACAGGAGAAAACUGAAAACCACUGGAUUAUUAAAUUAACAAGCAGAUUUACAGAGAGCUGAACUAACCUGUUUGAAACUCCUGAAGGUGGAAAAAAGUCUCGGCUGGUUGAGUGCAGAGCAGCGACGUCCAGACUUAAAUCCAAGCUGCAGAUGUUUCCAGAUGUUUCCAGGUGAUCCAGCUGCCGCGAUGUGGCGAAGGUGUGAGACGACCAGAGAGACGCCGCACAGCUGGAGACCAUCAUGCAGAGAAACGGGACACUGCAUGUGAGUGAGCCGCUGCAGCUCAUCCUACAGCCGGUUCUGUUCUGCUCCCCCAAGUUUCCAGGACUGAAACCAAACUGGAACAUGAAGGUUUUAUCUGAUUCAAACCAGCAACAAAACGGCCUGAUGAUGGACUUAUCAUCAAACAUCUGGAUCCUCGUGUCUCUUCAUGAGACGCCGGAAUAAAAAUCCGUCCUGGUCUUAAUUUUCCCCUCUGCGCUCGUUAUUCGUGUUGCAUUGCGGAUCAUCUUCUUUCUCCAGAGAACGGUUGGUUUUUCUCCUGCGUGUGUCGGGCCGGCCGGCCUGCAGACGUCUGAACUCUUCAGUGACAGCAGGAAUGAACGUGGGGCCAGGAGGCCGACGAGGGGAAACCAGAAUGAAACGAAACAAUUAGCAUGAGGCUAACUUCACAUUUAGCUCCAUCAUUUAAAGCAAGAAAAUUUACCGAUUUAUAUUUACCCUUGAUGCAAAUUAAAGUGAUUCUGUUGUACUUAUUUCUGGUUUUGAAGGUAAUUAUGGGAUUUCUCUUUUUUAAAACUGCAGAAACUGAAAAAGUUUUUCAUAUAUUUGUCCAAACUGUCACCAUGGUAACAUGGUAACAUGGUUUAUGAGACAGAUGAUCUGUGAAAAGAUCAACCUCCUCCCUGAGUUACUGCUGCUGUCUGACAAAAUGCACCAAAAACAACCAAUCAGAGCCAGGGGGCGGGGCUUAGCACAGUCAGUCAACCUCAUGUACUCGCUGCUAAAUGUGCUAAUGGCAGAGAAAUGACUUAAAGUUACAGGAAAACUGUUUAUCCACCGGUUAAAUGAUGAUAAAGUUAACUAUGCUAACUAGCUAACACUAGUUAGCAUAGUUAACUGUGCAUAAUUAAGUCCCUCCCACCUACAGAGAAUGACUGUUAACUUACUGCAGGUGGAAGUUAACAAUUAUUUAACUAUGCUAACUAGCUAUUACAUUUAGCUCGUUAGCAUACUAACUCUGCUGGCAUAGUUAGUGGCUAUGCUAACUAGCCUUAGCAUUCAUGACAGGCUGUGCUAGCUGUAGCCAAGCAGGAGAGUGCAAGACGGAUGAGUAGCGUCACAUGGAAUGUGAUUAACAGUGCUAAGUCCCGCCUCCUGCCUUUGAUUGGCUGAUUGGUUGUUUCUGAUUAGCACUGGGAGGAAACUUUCUUCUUCUGUUUUUUUCACAGAUUAUCUGCCUCAGAGCUUCAACAAAUAUAUAAAACAAUAUUUCUUAAGGUCACAUGGCUGCUAACAGUGCUAAUGCUAACGGUCGCCACUUUGACAGAAUGAGAGUUGAAUAUUAAUUUCCGCUCUGUGUGUUUUUUCACUCUCCAGUCGUUUUGAUGCUUUCCUGUUUCCUGAUCCCAGCCUACCUGUUUAACCAAAGCCACAGGAAACCAUCUGAAACACAAACUGUUUCUAAAAUGCGUCAGCCAAGAGAUUUAGAAAGCAGGUAAAUGCGACAGCAGACUGAACGACCCAAAAAGUCCGAUCUCCUCCACUUCCACUAAAUCAUAUCCGAUAGUUUUCAAAGUGUCGUGUUUAUGCAACUUUUCCGUCAUUGAUGUGAGACAUGCAUCAUAAUUCAGCAGCAGAAAAAGCGAGACAGUAAAUCUGGACGUAAACAAUGUCUGAAAAUG